rnacentral:rRNA from 1 species
GACGUAGGGCGCGAGCGUUGUCCGGAUUUAUUGGGCGUAAAGGGCGCGUAGGCGGUGCGGUAAGUCACCUGUGAAAACUCUGGGCUCAACUCAGAGCCUGCAGGCGAAACUGCCGUGCUUGAGUGUGGGAGAGGUGCGUGGAAUUCCCGGUGUAGCGGUGAAAUGCGCAGAUAUCAGGAGGAACACCAAUGGCGAAGGCAGCUCGCUGGGACGGUACUGACGCUGAGAACGCGAAAGCGUGGGGAGCAAACAGG